rnacentral:rRNA from 1 species
UUAAAAAGCUCGUAGUUGGAUUUCUGAGGGGACAGAGCGGCCGGCCGCUACUAGCGGUUCGAGCUAGCGCUUUCCCUACAUCCUGCCGCGAACCGCGCUACCAUUAGUUUGGUGGCGCCGGGGAUCGGCUCGUUUACUUUGAGAAAAAUAGAGUGUUCAAAGCAGGCCACACGCCUUGAAUAAGUUAGCAUGGAAUAAUAACUAAGGACUUCGGUUCUAUUUUGUUGGUGUUCGGGACUGAAGUAAUGAUUGAUAGGGACAGUUGGGGCGGUC